GAUGAACGCUAGCGGCAGGCUUAAUACAUGCAAGUCGAGGGGCAGCAUGAUUGUAGCAAUACAAUUGAUGGCGACCGGCAAACGGGUGCGGAACACGUACACAACCUUCCAAUAAGUGGGGAAUAGCCCAGAGAAAUUUGGAUUAAUACCCCGUAACAUAACGAUGUGGCAUCACAUUGUUAUUAUAGAUUUUUCGCUUAUUGAUGGGUGUGCGGCUGAUUAGAUAGUUGGCGGGGUAACGGCCCACCAAGUCUACGAUCAGUAGCUGAUGUGAGAGCAUGAUCAGCCACACGGGCACUGAGACACGGGCCCGACUCCUACGGGAGGCAGCAGUAAGGAAUAUUGGUCAAUGGACGCAAGUCUGAACCGGCCAUGCCGCGUGAAGGAUUAAGGUCCUCUGGAUUGUAAACUUCUUUUAUCUGGGACGAAAAAAGGCUUUUCUAAGUCACUCGACGGUACCAGAUGAAUAAGCACCGGCUAACUCCGUGCCAGCCGCCGCGGUAAGAC
rnacentral:rRNA from 1 species